UACGUAGGGUGCGAGCGUUAAUCGGAAUUACUGGGCGUAAAGCGUGCGCAGGCGGUUUUGUAAGCCAGAUGUGAAAGCCCCCGGGCUUAACCUGGGAAUGGCAUUUGGGACUGCAAGGCUUGAGUGCGGCAGAGGAGACUGGAAUUCCUGGUGUAGCAGUGAAAUGCGUAGAUAUCAGGAGGAAUACCGAUGGCGAAGGCAGGUCUCUGGGCUGACACUGACGCUCAUGCACGAAAGCGUGGGGAGCAAACAGG
rnacentral:rRNA from 1 species